rnacentral:rRNA from 1 species
GUUACACGCUGUGACUAGCAUAUCAAUAAGCGGAGGAAAAGAAACUAACAAGGAUUCCCCUAGUAACGGCGAGUGAAGCGGGAAGAGCUCAAAUUUGAAAUCUUAAAGGGUUUCCCUUUACGAAUUGUAGUUUAAAGAAGUGUUUUCUGUUGAAGGUUUUGGUAAAAGUUCUUUGGAAUAGGACAUCAUAGAGGGUGAGAAUCCCGUAUUUGACCUUUACUUUCAACUUUGUGAUACACUUUCAAAGAGUCGGAUUGUUUGGGAAUGCAGUCCAAAAUGGGUGGUAAAUUUCAUCUAAAGCUAAAUAUUGGCGAGAGACCGAUAGCGAACAAGUACCGUGAGGGAAAGAUGAAAAGAACUUUGAAAAGAGAGUUAAACAGUACGUGAAAUUGUCAAAAGGGAAGCGUUUGACACCAGUGUUGUUUUUCUGACAAUCAAUUAAAGAACUGUUUAUGCUGAAGCUGUUUAGACUUUAUCAGCUAACUGUUUAGUUUUGAGCUUUUCUUUAAUGCACUUUUCAGUUAACAAGUCAACAUCAAUUUCUUUUGCUGUAAAAAAGCUUGAGGAAGGUGGCUUGAGAUUCGUCUUAAGUGUUUAUAGCCUCUUGCCUAUGCAGUCGGAGAGAUUGAGGUCUGCAGCGUAGAUCCUUCGGGGCUAAAUGCAUUUGUGCUAAGUUAUAGCAUUUUAUAGACAACUUGUUGACUAUGAUUUGUCUUGUAGCUUACUCGCUUAUGUUAUUUUACCUACGCUUAGGAUGUUGAUAUGCAUGACUGAUAU